rnacentral:rRNA from 1 species
GUUAGGAAUAUUGGACAAUGGGCGCAAGCCUGAUCCAGCCAUGCCGCGUGAACGAUGAAGGCCUUCGGGUUGUAAAGUUCUUUAGCCGAUGAUUAUAAUGACUGUAGUCGGAAAAUAAGCCCCGGCUAACUUCGUGCCAGCAGCCGCGGUAAUACGAAGGGGGCGAGCGUUAUUCGGAAUCACUGGGCGUAAAGCGUGCGUAGGCGGUUUCGUAAGUUAGGAGUGAAUGCCCAGGGCUCAACCUUGGAAUUGCUCUUAAAACUGCAAGGCUAGAAUCUCGGAGAGGAUAGCGGAAUUUCCAGUGUAGCAGUGAAAUGCGUAGAUAUUGGAAGGAACACCAGUGGCGUAAGCGGCUAUCUGGACGAGUAUUGACGCUGAGGCACGAAAGCGUGGGGAUCAAACAGGAUUAGAUACCCGUGUAGUCC